UCCCAGACUCCUACGGGAGGCAGCAGUGAGGAAUAUUGGUCAAUGGCCGCAGGGCUGAACCAGCCAAGUCGCGUGAGGGAUGACGGUCCUAUGGAUUGUAAACCUCUUUUGUCAGGGAGCAAAGGGCGCCACGUGUGGCGUUUUGCGAGUACCUGAAGAAAAAGCAUCGGCUAACUCCGUGCCAGCAGCCGCGGUAAUACGGAGGAUGCGAGCGUUAUCCGGAUUUAUUGGGUUUAAAGGGUGCGCAGGCGGAAGAUAAAGUCAGGGGUAAAAGUGAGGGGCUCAACCUCUUCGAGCCGUUGAAACUGGUUUUCUUGAGUGAGCGAGAAGUAUGCGGAAUGCGUGGUGUAGCGGUGAAAUGCAUAGAUAUCACGCAGAACCCCGAUUGCGAAGGCAGCAUACCGGUGCACAACUGACGCUCAGGCACGAAAGCGUGGGUAUCGAACAGGAUUAGAUACCCGUGUAC
rnacentral:rRNA from 1 species